CCAGCAGCCUGCUCUCUUCAACUAGGCUGAACUAAAAUGUUAAAUUCAUGACCUUGCUCUUGCUUUACUCUCUAUUGUCUAUAUUCCUUCCCUCUCUUAUUUGAAGGAAUAUUGAAAACAGUUAUGAAGAUGUGAACUUUGAAAGACUGGAAGAAUAACACCAGAAAUCAAGGACUGAAAUUCCUGAUAAAGUUUGCUGUCACUUAGGAGUGUUCUUCUAUGCCAUGUGAUUCCAUGAGCUCUUGGCAAUCUUCCAGCGAGUUUAUUUUUGACCACCAGAAGAUAUCAAGCACGUGAUUAUUAAUUAAUGGCCUUUGAGAUGUAUUUUGUCUACUUAGAGAUCCUAAGGAAGAUGGGCCAGGUCCCUGAUGGCAUUUCUUCUAGUGCAGAACCUUCAGAUCGUCCUGGGAAUACAGCCUGGUCCCUGCUUCUACAAUAGCAGUCCUGCAAUCCUAUCUACUGAAGUUGAAAAAGAAACUUUUUGUCAUCAAAGUUCUAAGCACUACAAGUGGUUUAGCAUCGGAAACUGCUAUAAUUUUAUCAAUGGAAAUAACAUUAAAGGAGAGGCAUGGCCAUCUGCUGUGAUGUUGCACCAAAUGAACCAUAGGGCCUUUCUAUCUUAUUUGUAGUUGAAAAUUUCCAUAGAUAGUGUCUCUCUCAGUAGAAUAUAAAUUCCUUGAGAGCAUGUCUUACAUUUCUAUUUAUAUCCCUAGUACUAAGUACAAUGCUUUGCAUGUAGUAAGCACUUAAUAAAUACUUUGUUCAUUGAUCCAUUUAUUAAUUUAUUUUGUAUAGAGUUAUUUAUCAUCACCAUAUAUCAGACUAUUUUCUCUCCCUAUCAUAGAAUAGGGUUAUGGACUAGACUACAUGAAUACCAUAUUAAAAACUUUCAUACCUCUUUAUUUUUAGUGAUUUUUGUGAGUACUUUGUGGUGAAGUACAUUAAUAACUUUUAAAUAAUUUUUCUCUUUCAGCAUGUCUUUUAAAAAUACAUUUUAUUUAUAUAUCUUAUUUUUGCUUUGCAAUCAUUUCCUUGAUGAAUUCCUCCCUUCCGUUUCUUCUACAUGUCUUAUAACAAGAAAUAAAAAAAAAAAGGGAGGGGAAGAGAACUUUUUAGCAAAACUAACCAACACCGAAAAGAAUCAUAUUAUCUUCAGUAUUAUAGGUCUAUAAACCAUUUCUGCAAAAAUGUUGGAGAGGAGAUACCUUAUCAUAUUUUUCUCUUUAAGACCAAACUUGGUCAUUAUAAAUUUGAAUCAUUAAGUUCUAAUUAUCUUAUUGUUGAUUUUAAUUGUUAUAAUCACUGUGCAAAUUCUUUUGUCAGUUCAGCUACUUUAUUAUGCUUGAGCAAGUCCUCCCAUGUUUCUUUAUGUUCACUAUUUCUCAGUAAUAUUUUAUUAUGUUUAUGUUCUACAUUUUUCACACAUAUUCUUCAAUCAGUGAGUAUCUGCUUUGUUUCCAUUUCUUUUCUACUAUAAAAAGCAGGAGCAUUUUUAUAAAGUAUUUUAAAAGCACUUAUCUUUUCAACUAUAUUGGUAAUUCUGCCUCAGAGCUAGACCUUGCUCAUUUCUUUCUGUAAAAUCUAGCCAUUUUCUCUUUUUUGAAGCCUAUAACUGUACCCAUACUGUACUCAUACAUCACCAGGAGCUAUGCUCAUCUCUCUUUGGGAACAUUAAUAACAUUAGUUGUUUAGUCAUUUUUCAGUCAUGUCUGACUCUUUGUGACCCUAUUUGGGGUUUUCUUGGCAAAGACACUAGAGUAACUUGCCAUUUCCUUUUCCAGUUAAAUUUUGCAGAUGAGGAAACUGAGGCAAGCAAAUGUAAGUGAUUUGCUAGGAAUUACAUAGCUACUAAGUGUCUGAAGCCAGAUCUGAAUUCAGGAAGAUGAAGUCUUUCUGACUCUAGGCUUGGCAUUCUAUCCAGUUCACCACUUAGUUAAUUUUGUUAUGGAAUCAUUAUUCCAUUAAAAUUGUUGUCCUGGUUUCAUGUUAUAACUGAGAUAUUAUUCUAAUGUAAAGCUUUCUCUUCUUGGCUUCAUUUAUUAUAUCUUUAAACUGGGGCUAUUUUGGAAACAGUAGGGGAAAAGGAAUAUUGUUAUCUUCUAACCUGAACUUCAUUUCUAGUUGUUCCUAUAAUUUUUCUUGAAUAUCCACGUAAAAAUUUUCUUUCCUUCUUGUGAUAAAGCCCUGUCUUUUUGAUGUACAUCUUAGUUUGCUCUAUAUACUCCUGCUCUAGAACGCAUUAUUAGGGAGAAGGCUUUGAUAAUCUAGAAGGGAAAGUAGUCAUUGUCAGAAGCCUUCAUAAAUUUGUCAAAAUCAAGUCAUGUCAGAGCUAAUUCUCUUCCUUUACUGACUAUUGUGGACAUAGCAGAUCUGGAUUUGAAGAAGUUAUUUGACCAAUUCUCCCUCAAUAUCUUUAGAAAUAAAUGGAGAGAUAUAUAGGAUGUUAACAAGUACAGUUUUAGAUGAGUUUAGAAUUAAAUGAUUGGACUUAAAGAUGAUGAGUGAGUUUUAAUGAUAGUUAAUUUAUCUAGUUGGCACUUUAAAGUUCUCAAAUCCCUUUACUCAUCUCUCAUUUGAUCUUAACAGUCAUUAUAAGAGAGAUAUUAUUAUUAUUGUAUUUUUCUCUAAUAAGGAAACUAAGACUCAAAGUAGUUGGAUUUUCCCAGAAUCACAUAAUUAGUGGGAAUCAGGAGUAGGAUUAGAUUAUAGGCUUUCUGACUCCUAAUGUAACACACUAUUUAAAAUUAUCCUGGGAGAUCUCUAGGACACUGUUUCAGACCUUGGUCUUUCUUGUUUUCUUCAACAUUCUUAAAAUGACUUAAAAUUUUGAUUCUUCAAAUAUUUUUGUUUUGUUUUGUUUUGUUCUAGCUUGCAUGGUAAGAACCAGGAGAUAUAGCUGAUAUUCUGAAUGACAACUUCAUCUAAAAAGAUCCCAACAAGCUGGAAUAGUGAGAAAAAGAAAACAAAGUGAAAUGUAAUAGGAAUAAAUAUAAGCACCUAUACUUGAGUUCAAGUACAAAAUGUGGAAACUAUUGCUGGAUAACAAGUUGGAUAAAGGGAUUGGGAGUUUUUAGUGAAUUAUAAACUCAAUAUGAGACAACUGUGUGAUUGGUGGUAAAACAAAACUAAAACCCAACACUAUCCCAUAAACUUUACUAAUAGAACUCUAUUAAGAAUAAAGAAAGUAUUCAUUCUAUUAUACUCUACAAUGAUUACAACAAAUCUGGAAUUUUGUGGCCAUUUAUUGGUGCCAUAUUUUAGAAAGGUCACUGAAAAACUGGUGCCACAAAGGUGGCAGCCAAGGAAGUGAGUGAAUCUAAAACAAUUCCUUUAAAAGAUUGUUAAUUAAUCAACAUUAGGUAUCUACAGUAUACCAGACCCUCUGCUAAACCCUGGGAUAUAAAAAAAAGGGAAAAGACCCUGCUCUCAAGGAGCUGACAGUCUAAUGGGGGAGACAACUUGCAAACAA